UGGGGAAUUUUGGACAAUGGGCGAAAGCCUGAUCCAGCCAUGCCGCGUGAGUGAAGAAGGCCUUUGGGUUGUAAAGCUCUUUUAGUCGGAAAGAAAGAGUUGCAAUGAAUAAUUGUGAUUUAUGACGGUACCGACAGAAAAAGCACCGGCUAACUACGUGCCAGCAGCCGCGGUAAUACGUAGGGUGCGAGCGUUAAUCGGAAUUACUGGGCGUAAAGGGUGCGCAGGCGGUCUUGCAAGUCAGAUGUGAAAGCCCCGGGCUUAACCUGGGAAUUGCGUUUGAAACUACAAGACUAGAGUGCAGCAGAGGGGAGUGGAAUUCCAUGUGUAGCAGUGAAAUGCGUAGAGAUGUGGAAGAACACCGAUGGCGAAGGCAGCUCCCUGGGUUGACACUGACGCUCAUGCACGAAAGCGUGGGGAGCAAACA
rnacentral:rRNA from 1 species